rnacentral:lncRNA from 1 species
GAUGUCAAUGGGUAAGGAUAUCCGAAAAUUAUCGAGUUUAUCCGAGCUAAACGGGUAUGGAUUUGAUUAUGGGUAUAAAAAAUAAAAAUCCGACAGAUAUAGAUACGGAUAUGAAUUUUGAAUUUACCUGACCUGAACCCGAACCCAAACCCGAAUAAAUUAUAUAUAUACAUAAUUUAUUUUUAUUUAUUUAUAUAAUAUAUAAAAUAUUUAAUAAUUUUUAUCUCUUAAAUCUUCAUCCAACGGUAUGAAUUUUUAAAACUCAUCGGGUUUAGAUCCGUGUUCGGAUUUCGAAUUUUUGGUCAGCUACGAAUAUGGGUACGAAUUGUUAAAACCCGCCGGAUUCAGAUCCAGGUUCGGGUUUUAAUUUGAUUUUCGAGUUUGGGGUUUGGCUUUUUGAAAACCUGACCCAAACCCGACCCGUUGACAUCCCUAGGGGUGUGUAUGGUUCAUCAGAAAAGUAUGAAAAAAAAAAUUUUGAGAAAAAGUUUUUUAUGGAAAAAAAAAUUU